AGCAUUAUAAAACACAUAGCAGAAAAAAUCUGAUAUUCCUUGUCGAGAAUUCCUUAUCACACACACACACACACACACACAUAUAUAUAUAUAUAUAAACACGACUUCAUGGAUCUAUAGAAAUGAAGAUUAACAUGUAAGCUCACUAGUUCCAGGGCUUCUCUCUAUUGGCAGGUCCCUUAUUUUCACACACAUACACGCACACAUAUACGCCCACACAUACACAUAUAUUCAUGUUAUAUCAAAAGUCAAAAAUGAUCUGCCAAAGGAGAGUUGCCCUGCAACUAGUUUUAGCUUAGUUACACUGAUGAUAAAGGGGAAACCAAAGACUAUGCAAUUUCUUGCAGAUUAUAUGAUGCAGAGCUUAUUGGAAGUUCCAUAGUACUGUAGGCAGAACCGUUCGUUGUGGUCGUUUGCUGCAGAGAUAUCCAGUCCAUCGAAGACGUCGUACAUGCAGAACCGUCCGUCGAUCCAAGUGUUUCGAGGAGAGCUUUAUCGUGGAAUCCUUAUCCGUAGAGCUGUUCAUCAAUAUUGCAUAUGUUGCAGGUAGUUGAUCAUCAUAUCUAAUAGAAUUAGAGAUUAUAUGAUGAUGUAAUGUGUUACCCAGUGUUAAAAAAAAAAAUUGGUAACUUGGUAAUAUAUUUUUGUUGUUAGUAUACCUCAUUAGGUAGUUGUUUUUUUUAAUUUGUUAAUUUGAUAUUUGUCGUUGUGAUUAGUAACCUCUACAUGAGCUACCAUUGUAAAUUGUAAUGCGCAUACAAAAAGAAAACUGAAGCACAAGUGAGGCUUAAUUACCUGCAAGAUCUAAAACAAAGCUUCCUGAUACGUUUUAUUAUUUCAUUCUUCUCACCGAAAAUUAGUAGCUAGUUAAAAUAAUUUAACAAGAUGAUUAGUUUUGUAGCUUUCUGCCUUUAAUUUGUGUUCUUUGUUAAAUCAGAUACAUUAAUUUGCAAAGAUAUCAAAGUAUAAAUUCAAUAUAUACACUAAAGGGCCACAUAAAAAGGCUUUAAAAGCUCAAAUCCAAGGUUCUUAAGACUUUAGAUCUCAUGCAUCUCAUGCCAAUAAUAGGCAGUCAGACCGAGAAACCUUGAUUAUCAAUAUUCUGCCGUUUUCUUUCUUCAAGUUAUUUUGUAGAACUAUGUGAUUUGUUAUUCGAUAUGUUAUUUCGAUGAAACAUUAUGAUCCAAUUAUACAAAGUGAAAGGAAGAAUGGUUGAAUCCACAUGAAAACUGUAUGAAAGAAAAUGGAAGAUAUGCAGGCUGUUGUGCUUUUAGCCUUUAAUUUUUAGUGCCCUUUUUUCUUCAUUCUAACCUUCCUGCGAAAUUAACCAGCAUGUGAACUCCUGUGUUUUCUUUUUUAUCCUCUUUAACUCCCACAGUCAAGAUCAAUUUCGAAAUACGACAAGUCGACAAGGAAGAUUUCAUAUGCAAGAAGCUUAGUCAAAUUUGCCGAAUGCUGGAAUCAAGUGAAUCCCAAAGUGCACAAUCAACCUAAAAGACAAAGAAAAAUGGAAAAACCAAGAGAAGAUGUUCAACUGAUUUUGGGUUGUACAGCAAAUGAUCAAGUCUCUCAUAUUGAUACAUAAACACAUAUAAGUGGUGUGGUCAUCAUUCCUUUACGUUCCUUGCCUUGCAAGAUACCUUAUUACAAGUUAUUUUUUUUCUUGCACACAAAUGAUUUUUGUGUUCAGUAAGAAGACAAGAUCAUAAAUAUCUGUAGCUUUUUUAUCUAUCUUAUUUUUCGGAUAACUGCCAGAGCUAGCUAUUUGAGCUGCACUGUUAAUAUAAUCUUCCAUGACUGAUAAGAGGAGAAACUAUAAUUGGGAAUCAACAGAGUGAAGAAAAAUACAUAAAAGAAUAGCAGAUAAAUUUUGCAAGUCUCUUACAAUAUCGAACUAGCUGUUUGGACGAAUGGUGAGGCAUAAAGAAUUAGCGAGAAGAUAUGUACAUAGAUAGUACUUCAUAAAAUGUUAAGAAAUACAGCCAACAACUUUGAUUCCGAAACAUGUUGGGAACAUGUAUACCUCGUCUCUCUAUGCUGCUUUAGCUUCCUUGAUCCACAACAAAAACCGUAAUUAAGAUGGUAAAUAAAUAUUCCAUCAACUCUUGAAUUCUUUUUCAAGUUUCAAAAAUCCUAACAAUCAAUCGUUCUUGAUCUUGAAAAUUGCUGCCGAGGAAGCUAGUGGUAAUGCUCUGAUUAACAAAUGCUUUAAAUUAACAAUAUCAAAGAAAAAUAACGGUUGCUUACCGAUGAUUGAUUAACAAAGAUAAGUUUAAAUUAUUUUUGAAUUAAAGGAAAAUUCAAAUGAUACAUUUUUAUUUGUAACAAAAGGUUCAUUUAAACAAACAAUACAACAACAUUGGGAUAAUAAAACAAGAAAAUACAAAAACAAAACACACAACAACUUUCUUUUGGUUUGAUAAUUGUUUUUAGUGUUUAAGAACCGUUACCUUAACAAAGAACACCUUCGGCAGCAUCUUAAGCUUUAACUCCAGUCUUCUUGUUCGGCUCAAA